UCCAGCCCACACCCAGCCUGGCCAUAUGGCCUGGGAACAGAGUGGGAAGGGAAACUCCCCACCCUACCUCUGGCUGCCCCCUUAACAGAUCUUAGAAUGAAGCCUCCCUCUCCCCUCACACAUGCAGAGACACACACACACACACACACAGACACACCCUGCUGAUGUCCUGUCUAUGUCAGGGGCUCUGCUCAUGUAGUCUCCUCACAUGGCUCAGGCUGGUUCUGAGGACUAGACCCUCACAUCCCCAGGACCCAGGCCUGGUGACAGACAUCACCCCUUAGGAGACAAUGACGCUCGGCCAGCACAGACACACCCACUGUGACUUCGGACAUUGGCUCCUCAGCUGCCCUCAUCAGCACGAUCUGGAUGACACGGCCCUCAUAGAUGUGGGCAUCGAAGGUCGACUUCCACUCAGGAUACAUGGUCAGUCACACAAUUCAUCGAUCUUCAAAGUCCCUCAAAUCAAGGAUCACUACAGAUGACCAUGAGGGUCUUUCAGGUUGUCUGGGAGGAAGACACUCAUAUGGUGGAUCCACAUGAACACAUCAUACAUGUGCAUGGACACUGGCUCCGCCUCUGUAACCGAGGUUGAAUGAACAUGCAUUGAGGGGCAUAUGCAUAUGUGUUCACUCCCUCCUGAACAUCAGCCACA